GCUCCGGUGGCCUAGAGCUUAGAGUGUCCACCUCUGAUGUGGGAGGUCGUGGGUUUGAACCCCGUCUGAGUA